GUUCUUUCUAAGCAUUAAUCAGUGCUGCUUUAUUCUAAUGCGACAUUGAAACUUAUGUUAGUUCGUUUAGUUAACCCUGUUUAAUAGUUUGUAACUUCUUUGCAGAUGGUUUGGACACGUGAUCAAUUAUUAGCAGAGUUGACUUAAGAUUAUUGUUUUUCUGCUGCCCUUCCUCCCUGUUUUCCGUAACUGAAGACAAAGCAGCAACGGAAGAGUGGAAAUGACCAUGUUUUUCUGUAGUAGAAUGAUUGACAUCCACGUAGAGUAAAUGAAGAAAGUGUUUCAAAAGCAAUAUGGAUUGUCAUUUAUAGGCAGAUCAUAUAUUCAGUUCAAGGAUGCUUGUUUUAA